rnacentral:lncRNA from 1 species
UCUGUGUGUGACGCUCUCCUGGACUCUGUCCCAUGUUCCUCUUUUGGCUGAUUUUAUUCUGCAUCUUUUCAAUAAACCAUAAGCAUGAACAUAACAUCUCUCAGUGGAUCCUGUUAGUCCUUUUAGUGCAUUAUCAAACCUGAGGAUGGUCUUGAGGACUCUAAAACUUGCAGUUGGUGUCAGAAAUGAAGACGGUCUUAGAAUCGCUGAACUUGGUGAAACUUCUCCUUGACCGCUAGCAGGAUCUGAGAUCCCCUCCUUUGUUGAUCUGAUGUUUCUCCUAUCAGACAAAAGCCCCGCCUCACAAAAUAGGAGAAAAUGAUCAUGUAUGUCUCUUCCAGUCACCUCUACUGUCAGCCUCUUAUACCAGAUAUCAGGAAUGAGGAUCUGUGCAUCUUCCCCCACACUCAUUCCCAUUCUGGGUUGGAUGAUCUCCUUAACCCCCUCAAGUUCCUUACCUAGAUUCUUGGAAGGAUCUAGGAUUCCUCUCUCUGCUGAUUUGAGGCUGACCCCCAGACCAAGUCCAAGCUUAACAAAGGCCCCGAGCAAGAAGUGAGGAGAGGGUUCAGUAGGAUAGCACUGCUUAGGGCCUCCCAUGGUUGAUAGCAGGAAUCAGGCUCUGUGAGAUCCCCUCUGUACUGGAGUGGGUUGUCCCUUUCAUUCCCAUUUAGCAUCCUCACCUUGCCUCCUGGCAGAGAAUGAGUUCUUUCCCAUCUGCUGACCUGAACACCUCUACCCCUUUAACCAAGGCUGAACCUCCCUAAGGCCUCUGCAAGGAAGUUAAAACACACACACACACACACACACACACACACACUUCAUUCUGCUGCUCUUGCCAGGGACCUUCCGGACCUGACAGCAGGGGUGGUAUUCUCUGACAGCCUCACUGUUCUGGAACAAGUGGUCUCUGAGGCUUCAGUUCGACUCCUAGAAUAGAAUGGGCUUCCUCUUCUCUGCUGACCAGAGGCCUGCCCCCCCAGACUUUAGCUCUCACCUCCAGGAGACCUCUGAGAAGGAAGGUGGGGAGUUUGAUCCUGACAGACCUGCCUGGGACUUUGCAGAGAUGGUAGCAGGGGCCAAAAAGACUCUAAAGGGUCUGCUAUAUCUAGUAUUAGUAUGGGCAUUGUCCUUAUGCUGGGGUCACCCCCUUAGCUACCAUCACAGCCAAGGAUCCUUUGCUGGUCUGAGGCCUCCCCAUAUUAAACCAAGGUCCUUAUCUCUAAGUCACCUGAGAAAGAGCAAAGGAGCACCACUGGAUUCAGUUGGCCAUCCUUCCCUGGGAUUCUCUAGAGCUGACAGCAGGGGUGGGUGUGAUGAGGCUUUCUAAGACUUCAUCCGUUUUAGAGGUAAAAAAAUUUCCUGCAGAAAUUAAUUCUGCUCCUUCUCUAUAAUGCAAAUGCCUCUCCUUAAGUUUCUUAUUCUUUCCCUUCCUCUAUAGGAUAUAUAUGACUUUUUCAUAUAUACUUUAAUUGACUUCUGGGCCUGCUAUUCUUUUUCAUUAAUCAAUUUGGCAAUUCCUAUGCCAGAAUCAUACUCCUUAAUUGCUGCAUUAAGUUUACUAUCACCCAGGGAAAUUUCAAGCUUAUUAUUUUCUUUUCUUCAGUACUGUCUUGGUUAUGUAGCUAUUAUAUAGCUAUGCAUAUGCAUAAAUUAUCUUUAAGGUCAAUUAUAAAAUUUAAAACAUUUCUUAUAUCUCAUGCAGAUUUUAUUAGGGUAUAAUAUAUCUACAUGUUCAUAUUUUUCUUGGCCUUCAAUAAAGUUUUGCAUGUUCUUUUGUUUAAUGGAACCCUUCUCAUGAGUUUUUUGUUACACAUAAUUUAUAAUUGUUGUUUUAAAUGCAUUCUUUUUUUUUUACUAUUUUACAUUUUGUGAUUGAACACAUAUUAAAAAACAUAGAAUUCUGUAUAUUUAUUUGACAUAAUUCCAAUUCAGUAAGUGCUGUUUUUUUAACUAGUGAUAUUUUUCUAUUGAUUUAACUACAUUUUACUUCUUUUAGGGAACAAUCAACUUUUUGGAGCAUCAUGAUUAAAUUUUUCUCUUCCUAUAUUUUUGCCAAUUUUAAAAAUAAAAUUUAUAUAUUUGAAGUGCACUACAUGAUGACUUGAUAUGCAUAUACAUAGUGACGUAAUUACUACAGUCAAGCUAAUUAACAUAUCAUAUCCUCACAGGGUUACCAUUUAUUUUGUUUCACCAUCUUAUAUACUGUUUCUCGUUUAUAUGCUUAUCAAGUUAAGGAUGUACAUCUUUUGUUCACAGUUUAUCGAGAGGAGAGGUUUCAUUAAGAUGAAAUGUUAAAUUUUUGUAAUGUCUUUUUUUCAUUGAUCCAAGUGGUAUUUUUCCUCGGAAGGUCAUUCCUGUUGCAAAUAAGGUAAUAAAACUCAAACCGUGUAGGAAGUGACGAAUGAUUGGGGGAUAAUUCUCCAUGGAUUUUGUGUUUCUGCACAUAAGAGCAAACGGCAUAGACAUCUUUUUAUCAAAGAUGUUUGCAGAGCUGCUCCCAUUUAGGGAUCAUAUUUUUUUACAUUCUGGGUUAAUAAUGGCUUGCUCUUCUUCCCAGAAACUUUCCAGGAAGAUAAAGUUAAUGUCUCUUCUGGGUCAGAGGGCAGAUUUAUCUCUUAAUCAAGAUAAUAAUGAUAAUGUCUUUCUCCAGGGCAUAGAUUGGGGAAUUGCUAGCAGUCUCCUUAUAAGAUUGGGGGAUUCCUAAAUUCAUAUUUUCUUAGCUGUGACACACACACCAGGUGAGACUUGGGAACCAAGAGGGAGGCUGGGUAAGUGUGCAGCUCUUGCUCAUGCUGCCUGCUAUGUAAUGAACCACUUAAAUUCUUUGGAGCUUAUUGUCUCCUUAGUAGCUAAUCUAAAAAAGUGUAGUUAAGGAAGCCUGGCAGGUACAAUAGUCAUCACUGUUGCUUAGGAACUGCUUGACCACUUGACCCAAACAUUUAAAAAUCUUAGAAGUUGGAAGUGAAUAGCAGCUUUGUAGAAACUGUCACUGAUUGAUUAUUUAAGAAAGGUAGUAAAGAAUUAUGUGAAAGUCAGAGAUCAGUAACUCUUGUUUUUUUUUGCAAAAUGAGAUAAAUUACUGAGGCAUGAUGAAUAUAUUUAGUAAUAAAAGCAAUCUUUGAAACUGCAGUAUAUCAGAGAAAGGAACAAAACUAGCUCAUCAGCAACUGCAUAUAAGAUGCAAAAGUGGUGGAUAUGGUUGGGGUGUACGGGCCAGAGGAGAGGGUUCAGUUUGUGUUGUGGUACUACUCUUGGUUAACAUAUUAUCCAGGUUUGCUAUGUAAGAAACUUCAAACAUAUAAAACUGGCCACACUCUAAGCCCAACUUAGUUUCCAGGUAGAGAAAGAUUUCCAAAGAUUGGAAGAUAAUCUUCCAGAGGGCAGUUGUAUCUACUCUCCCCUCCAUAGAAUUUUUUCAUAUUCACAGCCUUCUCUCAUUCUCUGAAAGUGGCUGACAUCAGAAAGGGAAGUUCAUUUCUUCCUUCUCUUAGUUCACAACCCUUAUAGAGUGAGUUUUGACCCAUGCUUUUCAUCUCCCAGUCCCAAAGGCAGGACCUGCAAGUCAGCUUCAGCAAUGGGAUAUAGGCAGAAGGGUGGAGAAGGGAUAAGGCUUACAAUCAAACAUCAGCAAGUAUGUUGAGGACAGUACUUACAUCAUGCUGGCAUCAUCUCACAAUUUUACAAGCUCAGAGUCAGCCUCAGAUAUCAUAGACAGUGAAUAACAUUAUCAGUGUAUAUGUCAUGGGGGUCCAAUAUCCCAAAAGUUAGCUGCAGGCCUGCCCUAGUGAGUGGAGCAGAGAAGACAAGAGUGCUAUAGGCAGCCCAAGGUCAACCUUAAGGAAGUCUCUGACUCCCAGCAGCCCUAAUUCUGAAUACUCAGUGGCCAACAUGCUGAAAUGGAGUAAGCUACUCAUGUGAAAGACAACAGGACACAUAGAUGUUCCCAUGUGGAUAAAGAACAGGUGAAGUUGUAGGAGCAGUUCUGCAGGGAGGAUGGCAUAAGAGAAAGAAGGGUUCAGAAAUAGAAAUGCAUUAUACACUUUACAGCCCAUGUCCUUUCCAGUGAAUGAACUUGAAAUAUCUGUGGAAAUUGGAAGAGGUGCAAGGAUUAUCUAAAUCCUCUGAGGGCAGCUCUUAAGGUUGGGGGCUUUGAUAAAAAACCAUGGGAUUUACUGAACAGGAUGGCCUUGAGUAAUCAAAUAUUCAAAGUGCCUUGCAGGGAGUCCCAUAACCCUGUUUAGUAAAAAUAAGAAGUAUAGUGUUUAUGUGGCUUUUUCUCUUUUGCUUUUUGUUUUGGCAUUAUUUUAAAGCAAUACAUAUUUAAUUGUGGAAAACUGAAAAAAAAACAUAAAUAAACUAUCUAAGCAAGUUGCUUGAUGAGGAGAGCAGAAAUAGUGCUCACUGUCUCUCUGAUAUUGCCUAUCCAUUCCACUGUUGCUAGAGAUUUGCAUUCCGUCAGUUUAUGAUAAUUAUAAAUAACGAUGCUAUGAUCACCCUCUACAUGUCCUUUCAUGGACAUGUAUACUAAUUUCUGUGGGAUAUAUACCAGGAGCUGAAUUGCUGAGUCAUAGAGUAUGCAUUUACGCAAGUUAUAUAAAUACAGGAAAAUGGUUUUCUUGAGUGGUUGUGCCAACUUCCACUCUCACCAGCAGUAUAAGAGCACUGUGAUUGCUCUACAUCCUUUCCAACACUAGGUAUUUUUCUUUUAUUUCAUUUUAGCAAUUCUGGUACUUGUGUAAAGGUAUUACUUUAUGGUUUUAUUUUAUAGUUUCCCUAACAAUUAAUGAAGAUUAAUAUCUUUUCAUAUGGCUUAUUUUCUAUGCUACUGUGUUAGAAUUUAAUGUCAAAUUCAGAAUGACCCUGGAUUCUGACUUGUAGAGUGAACCCUGGAACUGGCAUUAGACUACCAUAGACCCAGUAACUUGGCCACCUGAUGGGCUCAGAGACAAAUAGCUUAGAGUCUAAUGCUCUUCCCAUAUUAGUAUACAGGUUGCUUGGAAUGAUGAUACAAUUAAGGUGAUUUUAUUCUCCAAGUAUAGAAUCAGAAAGCUGAUUAGUCAUACCUCUCCUUAUAAUUCAUCCUUCUAUGAUUGAGGUACCCUGCCCUUUUCUGUGCCACCAAAACACCCGUUUUCCUUCACUUACUCUUGCACCAUACACACUGAAGUUUUACUGUUUAGGCAUCCUUUGUUGUCUGCUCUAUCCACUUGUUGUCUGAGGAUAAGGUCUCCUUCUACACUGGCCUCUUUAGCUCAAGGCUGAAAAUAUCCACUCCCAUUAAAAAAAAGAUAAAACAGAUACAACUUAGAAUAGAUUUACAAGGAGAUCCUGCUGAGUAGAACUAUGUCUAAAUACUCAUAUUGCAAUAGAACAAAGG